GCCGGGCAUGGUGGCUCAUGCCUGUAAUCCAAGGACUUUGGGAGGCUGAGGUGGGUGGAUUACUUGAGGCCAGGAAUUCGAGACUAGCCUGGCCAACAUGGUGAAACCCCAUCUCUA
ensembl:misc_RNA Metazoa_SRP Metazoan signal recognition particle RNA